rnacentral:lncRNA from 1 species
ACUGCGCGCCAGGCCAGGUUCCUGAGAGCAGACAGCGCGGGCUGGGAGCGCCGGCAAGGGCGGCCCUCGCGCACCUGGCUGCCAGCCCGCAGGGGGCUCGCACGCAGACCUGCCCUUGCCACCUCAGCGCUCGGGUGCGGGCUGGGGGCGGUGGAGCCACGAAAGGUGGUGCCGAGAGCGGAGCGCAGGACAGCGCAGGAGCCCCGGCGCAUCGCGGCGCGCACAGACCCAGGAUUUGUGAAGAGGUGACCCAAAUUUCAAGACAAUGUUGGAUGCAAACGGAUUUGCCAGCAACUGCAUCACUGUCAAAACCAGCUCUGCCCGUGUCUUCCGAAGAUACCAAGUGAAAUACAUGUAGAUGGGAUUUACAUCUGAAAAACCAAGGCAAGAGGCCAUGGGAAGGGACGGAGGUGGAACAGGACUGGACAGAAGCUGAUAAAUGGUUGUUGCUGAGUACUGGGCAGAUAGGGGUUGGUUAUCCUAUUGUCUUUACUUUCAUAUAUUUUAUUUUUUCUGUAAUAAAACAAAUUAAAAUCACCUGUCGUGACCUCACAGGGGCCAGUGUGGGUUGUGGCGUGAGGCAGGAAGCUCUGCAGAGUUCCUUGGUCAAAAGGAUUAAUUACAAAAGAACUCCAUGAACACCGAGAAGAAGAGAAGGGAAUCCUGGCAUUUAAAGCCACAAAGAAACUUGAUAUGGUCUUGUCUCCUUCUCUCAAUUGACAGUGAGAAACUGAAGACCAGAGAGGGUGAGUGGUUUACUCAGUUUGGCACAACUGACCCCAACCUAGCCCUCCAUGAGGACUGAGCGCAUGAGAGAUCCUGAGCCACAGCCGCCCAGCCCUGCUCCUCUCGAAUUUCUGACCUACAGGAACUGCAAGAAGUAAUGAAAGACUGCUGUUUAAAGCCACUGCAUUUUGGCAUGAUUUGUUAUGCAGUCGUAGAUAACCAGAAAACAUCGGAUUUACAUUU